rnacentral:rRNA from 1 species
UGGGAAUUUUGGACAAUGGGCGAAAGCCUGAUCCAGCAAUGCCGCGUGUGUGAAGAAGGCCUUCGGGUUGUAAAGCACUUUUGUCCGGAAAGAAAUCCUUGGCUCUAAUACAGUCGGGGGAUGACGGUACCGGAAGAAUAAGCACCGGCUAACUACGUGCCAGCAGCCGCGGUAAUACGUAGGGUGCAAGCGUUAAUCGGAAUUACUGGGCGUAAAGCGUGCGCAGGCGGUUUGCUAAGACCGAUGUGAAAUCCCCGGGCUCAACCUGGGAACUGCAUUGGUGACUGGCAGGCUAGAGUAUGGCAGAGGGGGGUAGAAUUCCACGUGUAGCAGUGAAAUGCGUAGAGAUGUGGAGGAAUACCGAUGGCGAAGGCAGCCCCCUGGGCCAAUACUGACGCUCAUGCACGAAAGCGUGGGGAGCAAA